UACCCUCGGGUGGGGGAUAACCUCGGGAAACUGAGGCUAAUACCCCAUAGACCUCGGAUACUGGAAGGUUCCGAGGCCGAAAGCUCCGGCGCCCGAGGAUGGGUCUGCGACCUAUCAGGUAGUUGGUGGUGUAAAGGACCACCAAGCCUGCGACGGGUACGGGCCCUGAGAGGGGGAGCCCGGAGAUGGACUCUGAGACACGAGUCCAGGCCCUACGGGGCGCAGCAGGCGCGAAACCUUCGCAAUGUGCGAAAGCGCGACGAGGGGAGCCCGAGUGCCCUUCCUUCGGGGAGGGCUUUUCUGGAGCCUAAAAAGCUCCAGGAAUAAGGGCUGGGCAAGACGGGUGCCAGCCGCCGCGGUAAUACCCGCAGCUCAAGUGGUGGCCGCUUUUAUUGAGCCUAAAGCGUCCGUAGCCGGACCCGUAAAUCCCUGGGUAAAUCCUGGCGCUCAACGUCAGGAAUUCCGGGGAGACUGCGGGUCUUGGGACCGGGAGAGGCUGGAGGUACUCCCGGGGUAGCGGUGAAAUGCUGUAAUCCUGGGGGGACCACCUGUGGCGAAAGCGUCCAGCUUGAACGGCUCCGACGGUGAGGGACGAAGGCCAGGGGAGCAAACCGGAUUAGAUACCCGGGUAGUCCUGGCUGUAAACGCUGCCCGCUUGGUGUUGU
rnacentral:rRNA from 1 species